GUAGGAAUAGAAGUGUCCAUAAGUGCAAUAAUUUCAACAUGUUAGGAAAAUUAAAAAUUCAAUAUUUUAGGAAUACAUAUAACAAAAUAUAGUAUACCAUUAAGAUUAUCAGUAAGAUUUUGCUUUUUCUUUUGAGGUACUGGGGAUUAAACCCAACUCCUCCUCAUGCUAGGCAAACACUCUACCACUAAUAAAUACCUCCAGCUCUUUUUAUUUUUUUAUUUGGCAAGAGGGUCUAGCUAAAUUUCUCAGGUUGGCCUCAAACUUGAGGUCCUCUUCAUUCAGCCUUCUAAAUAGCUGAGAUUAUAAGUAUGGACCACCACACCUGACUAACAAGAAAUUUUUAUCAAAAACUAGUCUUAGGGUUUAGGGUCAAGAACUCAGCACAUGGAUUCUGUAUCUGUGAGCUCUAAGGGGAAGCAAGAGGUAUCCAAAAAUAGUUCCCUUCUAUUGAAGAGGAUACACUGCAGUGAUCAUUUCCGCUGAUAUUGUGGGGUUGUGUUAAGAGCUCCAUGUUAUGUGAGCCACAAUUUAUUCAGCUCAUUAUUUAUUAUGUAAGAAUAUAUUGUUCCAAUCAACUCGAGAGAAUUUAAAUGGUUUUAACCAUUUAAGUUUUAACACAUUUUAUUACAUACUGAAUUAUUAUACUGCAUGGUAAUUAAACAUGAAUAUUACACUUAUUUUUUUUUCAUUUCAUUUUGUCAUUUCUUGAACAUUUAAAACCAAGGUCAGUUUAUGUUCCUGAUGCCAAGUACCUUUUAACCAUCUAUAUUAGUCUGUUUUCUGUUACCAUAACAAAAUACUAUAGGCUGGAUAUUUAAAAAGAAAAGAAGUUUAUUUAACUCAUAGUUUUAGAGGCUGAAAAUCCAAAGAGCACAGCACCAAUUCUGGUGAGGGCCUCUAGCUACAUCAUCUUGGAAGAGGGUAUCAUAAUGGCAAGAGCACUAGCAAGAGUAAAAGGUAAUUAGGCAAGACAGGAAGCCAAAAGAGGGAGCACAGCCAGUCUGGUUAAUUUUAAGCAACUGUUCAAACUUACCAAAGGGUACUAUGAGAACUGCUUUAAUCUAUUCAGAGGAGAGUUGCCUCAGUGAUAUUCCACUACUAAGCUCAACAGCUUAAAGUCCUCCCUCCUCUAUACCACCGCACAGAGGACCAAGGCUCCAACACAUGAACUGCUGGGAGACAGACCACAUCCAAACAAUAGCAUUAUUAUCCUUUUUUUCCCCAUAACUUUUUAGUCAUCUAUGUGAUUCAAUUUCUUACCCUCAGAACCUGAGCCUAUGCCCUAGAGCUGGGGAUUUCUGUGUAUUUUAUCCCAACACAUCUCUGCUCUUCCCUCAUCCCAUUCAUUCUUGAAGAUUUGAGCCAGCUGCAUUUUUGCCCCCAUUCCUGCUACUUAUGAAUUAGGCAAGGAAAGGCUUAACAUGGCAGGAAUCCUGGGGCAUAAAAUAAAAUUGCAGACAUCAACAGAAGGGCAACAGUAACAUUACAAUGUUGUAGAUGGGAAAGAAAAAGAUCAGAAAUGGCAAAUGGAAGGUGACAAGGGAAGUGGGAUUCCCAUAAUUUAGAUUCCUCUGUAAAUUGUAUUGGAGUACCAAUGGCAUGCCCUCUCUACAAGAGCAAACAAGCAAGAGGAGAUGUGAAACAAUAAGAAAUAUACAACUAGUCUGUGCAUUCGCCCUGCCCUGUUUCCUAGCACACAGCUCCUAACCCCCUUGGAAUUUCCUAAGCAAUAAGUGUCUUUUUGCUUGCUCAUGAAAUAACUGAUGACUAGGAGUUCCUGGAUACACUCUAAAUGGGGGCUGGUUACCUGGGGAACCAACAGUGUGAUUAGAGGGUUGAAACUUUCAUCCCCACCCACUGACCCUCAAAGAGGGGAGAGGUUUGGGGCUGAAGGUUGAGUUAAUCACUGAGGGACAAUGGUUUACUCAAUCAUGAUAAUGUAAUGAAGCCUCCACAAAAACCCAAAGAGGGUUUGGAGAGGUCCAGGUUGCUAGGAAGUGCUAAGAGGGUGGCAGAACUCAAAACGGGAAUGGAAAGUCCGUGCAACUCCUCCAUACUGCCCUAGUCAUCUCUUCCAAACAGCUUUUCAUC
rnacentral:lncRNA from 1 species